rnacentral:rRNA from 1 species
GUCCUAGCUGUAAACGAUGUAGACCAGAUGUGGGGGGUAUCGACCCCCUCCGUGUCGACGCUAACGCAUUAAGUCUACCGCCUGGGGAGUACGGCCGCAAGGUUGAAAACUCAAAGGAAUUGACGGGGACCCGCACAAGCGGUGGAGUAUGUGGUUUAAUUCGACGCAACGCGAAAAACCUUACCUAGGCUCGAACGACUGGAAGUAAGAUCUAGGAAACUAGAGAUGACUUGUAAAGUCAGGAACCAGCCGAGGUGCUGCAUGGUUGUCGU